rnacentral:lncRNA from 1 species
CUGACUGUCUUGUUAAAUUAAUCCAAAAAUUUUCAUUCACUCUGCAUACUCAAUCCUAUAGACACCCUUUUAAUUCUUCAAUCCCAGACAUAACUUUGAUUUCACAAAAUAGUCAAGAGUAAUCACACACACUUCAUUAAAAAUCCCGAUUCACCAUUACAACACUGAUUUCAGCAACGAUUGCCUCAAUCUUCCCAAAAUCCUAUGAAGAAAAAAAAAAUCCCAAUUAUCUGUCUUUUUUUCCCCGCCCCGAAGCAUGAAGCUAGCUCUCCAACCCUUCUUCAAAAACCUUAUUCUCUCCCUUUUCAUUUCUUAACCUA